UCUAUAUCCUCUCCUGUGCAAGCACCUUCUGCCAGUUAUUUAACUGAGGUUUAAUGUAGGUGCUGCUGUUAAUGGGGUUUGCAGAACUAAGCCCCAAAUCCGCUGCUUUAAGAUAGGGAGGUUAUCCUCAGUGGGUCUGAUCAACUGAGCCUUGAAAAGGGACCGGGCUUUCCUUGAUGAGAGAGAUCUGAAGUGUGAGAAGGACUGGCACCAGGCAAAUUCUACAUUGUUGGCUUUGAAGACCCAGGGGGCCAUGGCCUCCAAAUGCUGAGAAUGGCUUCUGGCUGACAGGCAGCAAGGAAAUAGGAGACCUCCGUCCUUCAGCCCCCAAAAAGACCUUGAAUUCUGUCCAUACCCUAAAUGAACUUGGAAGAGGAUCCAGAGCUCCAGCUGCUGACACCUUCUUAGCAGAGAACACAAGACUGUGUCCAGAUGGAAAACUAGCAACUGUGAGCUGAUUGACACCAGAGGCCCAGCCAGGUCAAAGGGCUCGCCCGGUGUCACAACAGUGGCACAAUGAAGCUGACUCUACAGCUGGGCCAGUGUGUGAGCUGGCACUGCACCUCCUGAGACCAGGGAGGGUGCUGAAUGAAAACAGCCAUGGAAGACAGAACCCUAGGAGGUGGGGUUAGAAGGACCACAUUGGGAAGCACGGGGAGCUCUGCCUACUGCCAUUCCGGAUCCAAAUCCGAGUUACACCGUGACUUAGCAGAGAGCAACCAGUCAGACUCUACCAGCUCGCACCUUCUGGCAGGUGCCUCCACACAGCAAUGUAACAUGUGAAAGCCUCGCUGCUGGCCAUAAGCCACCCUUCCGCCUUUCUGUGCCUUCGGGUUAAUGUCUCUCCUUUUCACUGCCAGCAUUUUGGAAAGCACAGUCGACAUCACUGCCUCCACUGACCACCUUGUUCUCUGAAUUCUGGCACUCUUUGGACUUCAAGGUGAAAAUUCUGGCAGUGAAAUUCUCAUCGCCAAAUCCAUGGCUCUUUGAUGGGUCCCAUCUUGCCAAGUCUUUCCUACUCAAUGUCGAUUACCAUCCCUGAUCCCUGUCAUUCCUCCUACCUCAUAUAAUUGAAGUCACAUCACUGUGAGUCUUUCCCUUUUUUUUUUUUUUAAUGUGUCCAUAUUCUUAGGGGAAAAAGUGCCUCUGCAUUCCUGGCUGCCUGUGAGGGACACUCUGGUGCAGGUGGCCCUUGGCUUUGGCCCUCCUUCAAAAAUGGAGGGGAAACCACAGAAGUGCUGGUUCAAAUCCCUUCCAAGGCCUCUGGCUCAAAGCCUCAGUCCCCAGGUGCGUGGGGGCUGCUGGCUGAGGGCUCACACUGUCCUGGGGCCCCAGUGGCAUCCACCCUCCUCCGCUCCCAUCGGGGUUAAGGAAGGCUGGGGUCCGGAAACUGCUCAGCAGCUAAGGGGUUCCUACUUAGUGUGAAAAGUCUGCCUUAGAGGUUGCUAUAAA